rnacentral:rRNA from 1 species
AAUCAACGCUGGCGGCGUGCCUAACACAUGCAAGUCGAACGCGAAAGCCCGCAAGGGUAAGUAGAGUGGCGCACGGGUGAGUAACACGUGGACAACCUGCCUUCGAGUGGGGAAGUAACCUUCCGAAGGAGGGCUAAUACCGCAUAACACCUCGGGACACAAGUUCUGGGGUUGGAAAGAAGCAAUUUGCUCGAAGAGGGGUCCGCGCCUGAUUAGCUAGUUGGUGAGGUAACGGCUCACCAAGGCUUCGAUCAGUAGCCGUCCUGAGAGGGAGCACGGCCACACUGGAACUGAGACACGGUCCAGACUCCUACGGGAGGCAGCAGUGGGGAAUUUUUGG